GUGUAAACAGAAUGAGUAUGAGGUAUCACAGACGCUCUAAUAAAUAAUAUAUAUUAUAUAAAAUUAAAUACUGCAAACUGGGGCAGACACC